rnacentral:rRNA from 1 species
UACGAAGGGGGCUAGCGUUGUUCGGAAUUACUGGGCGUAAAGCGCGCGCAGGCGGUUCUCCAAGUCAGUGGUGAAAGCCCGGAGCUCAACUCCGGAAUUGCCAUUGAAACUGUUGAACUUGAGGAUGAGAGAGGUGAGUGAAUUCCCAGUGUAGAGGUGAAAUUCGUAGAUAUUGGGAAGAACACCGGUGGCGAAGGCGGCUCACUGGCUCAUUACUGACGCUCAGGCGCGAUACGUUGGGG